rnacentral:tRNA from 1 species
UCCGGGAUCGUCUAAUGGUAGGACUGCAGCCUCUGGAGCUGCGUAUCUUGGUUCGAAUCCAAGUCCCGGAG